UACGUAGGGGGCAAGCGUUGUCCGGAGUUACUGGGCGUAAAGCGCACGCAGGCGGUCUUUUAAGUUUGGAGUGACAGUUGGUGGCUUAACUGCCAAAGUGCUUCGAAAACUGAAAGACUUGAGGGCUUCAGAGGGACACGGAAUUCCGGGUGGAGUGGUGAAAUGCGUAGAGAUCGGAAGGAACACCAGUGGCGAAAGCGGCUUCCUGGUCCAGCACCGACGUUCAGGCACGAAAGCGUGGGGAGCAAACAGG
rnacentral:rRNA from 1 species